CGCCUUGAAAUUUGUUUGUCUUCAUUUGUCUCAGACUGCAGCUCAGUAAAUAGUUAAAUAUAACCUGACAGAGUUAAAACAUAAAUGCUUAUAUAAUGCUUAUAUAUUUGUUUAUAUAUAACAAUGGGGGAAAAGCCAUUGAAAUACUACUUAAUACCACUAAGAGGCAGCAUUGUUAAACAUUCAGAACAUCAGCGUCCCACAAUGCAAAACCCCGAGACUGGUUUUAUGAACAUGCAGUGAUACCAUGGAGCCCUGCUCUCUUAUGCUACUUUACGGCUCAAAAACUAAUGGAAUCUGGUCACCAUAUUGGCCAUACUCUGAAGAGUUGGAUCCAAAAGCAAAGGAGCACAAUGAGAGCUGGUCUUGAUUUUCACUCAACUCUGGACAUGAAAGGGACCCAGAAGGAUGACACGGCACAAUUAUGUAUCAUUUACACCGAUGCACCAGAAUAUACGCAAUCAUCUCUCAAAAAUCCCUAAACUGUAAAACCCAUUUGCUCUGUUUACUCAGCUGGUUUCUUAAGAACUGGUUCUGUGACUCAUUUGACUUGUUCAAAUAUAUUUGUAUGGUUCAGCAUUUGCUUUCUAUUUUCCAUGUAUUUGUGUAUUUUCCAAAUAUCUGCUAAAAGUUUUUUGGGGGGGAAUGACUCCUAAUUUUGUAUGUUGGACAUGUUCCAUAAGUGAACGGAAUAAAAUCUGGA